rnacentral:rRNA from 1 species
GACGAACGCUGGCGGCGUGCUUAACACAUGCAAGUCGAACGGAAAGGCCCUGCUUUUGUGGGGUGCUCGAGUGGCGAAAGGGUGAGUAACACGUGAGUAACCUGCCCUUGACUUUGGGAUAACUUCAGGAAACUGGGGCUAAUACCGGAUAGGAGCUCCUGCUGCAUGGUGGGGGUUGGAAAGUUUCGGUGGUUGGGGAUGGACUCGCGGCUUAUCAGCUUGUUGGUUGGGUAGUGGCUUACCAAGGCUUUGACGGGUGGCCGUCCUGGGAGGGUGACCGGCCACACUGGGACUGAGAUACGGCCCAGACUACUACGGGAGGCAGCGGUGGGGAAUAUUGCACAAUGGGCGGAAGCCUGAUGCAGCACCGCCGCGUGCGGGAUGACGGCCUUCGGGUUGUAAACCGCUUUCGCCUGUGACGAAGCGUGAGUGACGGUAAUGGGUAAAGAAGCACCGGCUAACUACGUG